AGGGGUUUAGCAGAAUGGUAGAGCAUCCCUGGCUUUAAUCCCCAGUACCAAAAAACAGAAAAACACAAAUUUUACUCCUGAUUUUUCUUCUAGCUCUCUCUUCUCUAGAGUUCAAUUAUUUAAGGUCCUUUCCCAUGGGUUAAAGCUCAACAUUUGAUCUCUCUUCUUGAUGAUGGUUACAUUUUCCUAUGACUUUCUGUUUAUAAGGUUUCCCUACCUACUUUUGUGUGAGGAAAAUUAGCAUACGUUGAGUGUCUACACUUAACAGGAGUGAGGUUAUGGUUGGGGGGCAUGUUUUUUGUGCCUAUACAUAUGCCCAGGGUUCCAUCUUUGCUGGCAUUCAUGUGUAGCCCCAUAGACCUCUUGGCUGGGGUUUGCCACUUUUUCAGAAGGUGGACUUGCUUGUUUUGUUGGUGCCGUUUAUAUACAGAGAGAUCUCUGUUUCAGGUGUGAAUAUCUUCCAUGCAUGUUUGUGGUACUCAGGGAUUAAACCCGGUAGUGUUCUGCCUGUGAGCUAUAUCUCCAGCCUUUUUAAAAAUUUUAUUUUGAAACAGGGUCUUGCUAAGUUGCCCAGAUUGGCCUCAAACUUAUGAUCCUCCUGCCUCCAGAGUAGCUGGGACUAUAGGCAUGUGCCACAAUGCCUGGCUCAGAUGUGAAACUGUAUAGUGAUAAAUGAUUGGAUGGGUGAAUGUCUUAAAAUAGAUGAGGGUGGUGGAGAUUUGGGGAAUCAAUUAUCUGUUCUAUAAGCCAUGAAAGUGGAUAAGGAACAAAUAGAAGGAAUAAAGCAGGUGGGUGCUGUUACUCCAGGAAAAACUGGCUUUCUUGGCUUGUAUAUGUUUCUGUAAGUACAAGAACAGGUUUCUUUUUUCAGGCCUGCUGUAGACACUGCCCCAUUUGGCCACUAGUGCUUCAGAUUUUCUUAUGUUCUUUCAGAAAACUUUGAUUUUUGUUCCUUAAGCCAUCCUCACAUAGAUUCUGGUUUAGAACAAAGACAGGCAAGAUCAUUUACACCUCUUGCCUCCUAGGAAUGACCCUGAUAGUAAGAAGGGACCUGAAUUUGGGUGCUUCCUUAGGACCUGGGUAUGUUAGAAACUCCAAGCUGUGGAAGACCAAUCUUGAUCCAUCUAUUCAGGCUUACUUUAUGGAUUGCAGGGGUGGUGCUGUAGAAUAGGUAUUGCUGGUCACCUCUAGCAUUCUGCAUAGUACUUGGCCUUCUGUCCACCAGAAUGACCAUAAUGCAUUGCUUUCUGGAGCAGAAGGGCUUCUACUAAAAACAUCUGGUCUGAGAUAGGGGCUGGGGAGGAAUGCUUCCAGUCACUGGGAACACCAAAUGAUGUACCCUCAAGAAGCAUGUUGAUUGACAUGUCAGCAGAGUUAGCCAGACUCUUUUGCCCCAUAAAUUCCAGGGUUCCAGGUAAGUACAUUGUGAAUUAUGUGAAUGUAUCCCUUUCUGGAGAUGCUUUGGUCUAAAGGGUGUUUGGUGUUCGAGGGCAAAAAAAGAGAUUUAUGGCUACCUCAGGUCUUAGUGAAAACAUUCAUAGUUCAAACUAAAGCCAUCUUUUCCCAGCUGUAAGUCCCUAAAAUGCAUGACGCCAUACCUCAAAUUCCAUGUCAGGUGUUUGCCAAGUUUUUCUUUUAAAAUGUUUCUUCUCUUUCUCAUUUUUUUGGCCAUUAUUUUCAGUUUUUAUAUACAAGUCACAUUCCCAGAAAGCACAGAGUGAAAAAGCUUCUUUUCUCAUACACAUGCUGCUAAGAAAAUAGUUUUAUACACAGAAUUUCAACAGGAGAAAAAUACAGGGAGGGAAGGGUGCAAGAGAGAUGUCGAAAGGCAGGGAAGGAAGGGUGAUAGCAAGUGCCAGACUUCAGUGGGUUAGUUGCUCUUCCCUUCCCGUGCCUACAUUUAUGACUGGCAUUUUUGGUAUCAUCUGAAUAACCUGCAAUUGGCUAAAGUUGGAGUUCUGAAUUUUAAACAUAAAUGGGACAGAAAGUGAAAUUCACAGAAUGUGUAGGGACUAAGGACUAAAGGGUUUUCUUUCCCUCGUUCCCCUCCUACGUGUUCUGCACUGCUACUGCUGCUGCUUCAGUAUUGACAUAUUCACAGAGCAGAGUGAUUGAGAGACUGGAAAACUUAAGUCCCAGAACUGACUGACUUGUGAAUAUUAAAUGGAUAAUGGUGGUGGAAACGGUGUGAGGGGAGGGAUCUUGGCGAUAUGGGUGUAGGAGAGGUAUCUGCAGGACAUGGGAAAUUUUGCAGGCUUUUCUUUGCUAAAAUAAAAUACCUCAUUUUCUACCCUGUGCCACUUUAGCUGGGCUUUGGGGUUGCCAGAAUUACCCGCUGGUGGUUACAGAGGCAAUGAGGUUGGAGUGGGGAAGCUUCUCCUCGUUAUUACUCUUCUGUUGUUUCUCCUGGUGAUAGCACCCAACAAUUGACAUCAAUUCUAGAUCUUGAGAUCUAGAUCACAGACAGAUCUUGACUCCUUUGGAAUUGCCUCCAGCAGCUGCUGCUUAGUGGAGGAGCUGGAGCAGGAGCAAGGACAGAGGACAAAGGGGAGGAAAGCACACGGAGAAUAAGUAACCAUGCAGAGGCGAAGGAGGUUCAAGAAAUGUCCAGAAAUGUGAUGGGACCGCAACAGAAAAGAAUCAGUACAUUUGUGGAAAAAAGUUAUGAGAGGAAAUGGAGGCAGCCGGAGAUGGCGCUGAGGUAUCCUGGGACAGAAUUUGGUCAGAAGAGCUAAAGCCUUGGAUUGGGUCAAAGCCGUGUUGGAUGUGAAGGGUGGCCUUCCAGCUCAGGCGCCAGAUUGGAUGGUAGACUGUCCCCAGUGAGGGGGAGGCAGCAAGGAGGCUGUGUUACACUUUGCAAAUGCAUAAGAUGUUUUAGGACAGCACUGUGGAGCUGCUGUGCUGCACAGACCUGUGUGAUCUUACAGUAAAUGCACUGGAGGGACUGCUGUUCUACAUGCCUCAGGCUUAGACAACCACAAGAAGCCAGCUUGGAACCCUUCUUCUGCAUGAGCACCACAGGAGGGAAGGGGUAGGGGCUUGUGCCCUUGAAUUCAGACUCAAUUCAGAUCUGAUCUUGGCGUAGGGGACCUCCUUAGAAGACUUUGAUCUCCCUGAGCUUGGAAGGAAUUGUAGGCAACUCUUCUAUAAUUAUUUGGAAUACUAUUAUACAUGACUGUUUCUCUGGUUCUUUGAUUCCAUGUGAACCUGUGUGAUGUAAUGAAUCCAUUUAAAUACUAUUACAACAACUACUACAGGUUGAGUAUCCCUGAUCCAAAAACCCAAAACCCAAAAUGUGAGACUAGGGGUGUAGCUCAGUGGUAGAGCCCUGGCCUAGCAAGUUCCAGGCCCUGUUUUUGAUACCCAGCACUUCAAGGAAAGAAAAAAGUUUCAGAUUUUGGAUUUUUGUUUUUCAAGCAGUACUAGCAAUCAGCCCCAGGGCUUCAUGCAUGCUACCACUGAACUAUAUCUCUAGCACUUCUAAAAAUUUAUUUUGAGACAGGGUCUCACUAAAUUGCCCAGCCUGGUUUUAAUUUUGUGAUCCUUCUGCCUCAGUCUCCCAAGUAGCUGGGACUAUAGAUAUAUAUCACGGUGCCUGGCCAAAAUCUGCAACUUUUUUGGUACCGACAUGAUGCCAGUGUUACAAAUAGAAAAUUCCACAUCUGUCUUCAUGUGAUGAGUUGUAGACAACACAGUUGCAACUGAAAAUAUGGUAUAAAAUUACUUUCAAGCCAUGUGCUUAAGGUGUAUAUUAAAUAUAAAUGAAUUCAUGUUGAGAUUUGGGUCCCCUUCCAAAGAUAUCUCAUUAUAUAAUGUACAAAUAUUACAAAAUUCAAAAACACCCAAAUCCAAAACACUUUUGGUCUCAAGCAUUUAGGAUAAGGGAUACUGAACCUCCAGUUAUCAUAACGAAAUAAUAGACAAUACCUUUAAAUGUUUACCGUGUACCAUUGUGCUAAGGCCUUCACAAGCAUUGCAUUACUAAUCCUCUAUUAUAAUCUGAUAUAAUACAUAGUUAUUCAUUUUCAGGUUACAAACAUGGAAAAGGACUAAGUGGUUACAUGAUUUUUAAGGUCUCCUAAUUAGAAAGUAGAAGUGACUCAGAAGGCUAAAGCAGGAGGAUCACAAGUUAGUGGUCAACCUUAGCAACUUAGUGAGGCCCUAAGCAACUUAGUGAGACCCCAAAAUAAAAAUUAAAAAGAAAAGGGCUGGCACUAUAGCUCAGUGGUUAAAUGUUCCUGGGUUCAAUCCCCAGUACAAAAGAAAAGGAAAGUGAAAUGAGACUGGAGCUCACAUAGGUUGAAUAUAAGGCCUCUGAUCGUGGGUUUAUUUGUAAACUUCUGAACUCUGGCUGGUGUGCAUUCUGAGUGAGAUCUUUGAGUGUGUUACCCUGUCCUGUGUGUGUCACUUUGAGCAUAUAUACUGUCAUCCUUUCUCAGCUUGAAUGUGCUGGGUGGGCCAUCUCCCAGUUUCUUUGUUUCUUGGUAUUAGAUGGGUCAGAACAGGACUAGUGCUCUGUGCAACUCCAGGGGGCGCCAUUCAUGUUGCAGUCUAUAUAGGGUUACUGGCCUUUGGUUGGGCACGUGUUUGUGGGGAGAGAAAAAAGAGAGAAAGAGGCAGGAAGACCAGGUGGGGUUAUUUGAAUGAUCAGUGCACUCCAUAUUAGCAUAUGAACUUCAUCAAACAAGCAAUGCAGUGUCAUUUAAAGACAGACUUGGGCUAGAAGUGGUGGUGUAGGCCUAAAACCCCAGCUACUCAGGAGGCUGGGCAGGAGGAUCACAAGUUAGAGGUCAGCCUCAGCAAUAUAGCAAGACCCCACAAAAUAAAAAGGGGUGGGGAUGUUGCUGAGUGGUAAAGGACCACUGUGUUCAAGUCCCAGUACUACAAAACACAACAAAACACAGCCUUGGGGCUGGAAAGGUAGCCCUGUUGUAAAACCCAUGCAUGGCACUGCAUUUGGAGGUCCCUUGAUUUAAUUCCCAGCACCAAAACAAACCCCAAAAUUCCAGUAGUUAGAGACAGACGUGGAAUCAGAUUUUACAUAUUCCUUAAUAUGUAAAUGACCUUAGUUCAUUAACCACAUCCCUAGCCCCCGCCCUUACAUUUUAAUUUUUAUUUUGGGACAGGAUCUCCCUAAGUUGCUUAGGGCCUCACUAAAUUGCUCAGGCUGGCCUCCAACUUGUGAUCCUCCUGCCUCAGCCUCCCAAGCCACUAAAGCCUCAGUUCAGUUUCCCAUAAAGUAUGGGAAAUAGAGUUGUGUUCGUUGAAACAACAUUAGUAGGACUGGCACUUUGGAUGUGAUCAAUAAAUAAAAAAUAAUUAUCCAUCCACAUGCCUUAUUUCCUGAGUUGUAUAUUUAUUGCUCUUUGUGUGUUGGGGAUGCUGAUGGCCUGGGUGUAGCUCUGUCCAAACAUCUCUUUGGACUUAGUGAAGGUGCUUGCUCUAGCUAGCCCCUGCCCCCAGGGCUGGUUUCCCUCAGGCUUUCCAGUCACACCUGUGUGGGCUCUGCGCUUUCCAUUCAGCAUCUGGGUGUCCUAUGCUGUGUGUUGCUGUAUGCCUACAUGUGCUUGGUGGCCGGCUGGCACGGGCGUGUUUGGGGUGGUGGUAAUUACUGGGAUGGCCCGGCCCUAAUGAGUAUGAUCUCGUUACACUCUUGCCGCCUCUAAUGGAGCUAACCUCAUUUCACAGCCAUUAGAGAUGGAGAUGAGGCCCCGCCCACGGGCCCCACCAGCUGCAGUUUUCACAGCCGGGCCGUGUUCUUCCCUCUGGCUCGCCCUUGCUCCAUUCCAGCUCUCCUUCUCCCUCCAGGUUUCCCUGUUCCCCAUUGUUCUUUCCCCUAUCUUGUUUUUCUGCUUCUCUUUUUACCUUCUCUUUUCAUGUCUCCCUUCUGUCUCCUCUCCACUCCAUUCUUGGGUUCCUUUUCCCUCACUCAGGACCCUCCCCUUUCUCCCCCGACGGAUUUGCCCUCCACAUUUCCAUUUCUCCAUCCUCUUUUCCACCCCCCCCUUCACUGCUGCUGUCCCUCCCCUCCCCCACAUUGCCCUGUCUGGCCAAAGGACAAAUCUCAAGGGGAAACCAGCAAAGACAAACAAGGAGCAGUGACUUCAUUAUCAUCAUUAAUUUGCCACUUCAGUUCCUCCCACAGGGGUCAAAGCCAGCACCGCUUGAACUCAGGACUAUCAAGGAGGCUGAGGCAUAAGCCUGACUGUUCAAGUCCAUCUCACACAACCACUCCCUGUCACCGCCCUUGGCCAUCUUCAUAUCCCUGUGGGGGGUCAGGCUCCCUGCUUUCUCACCAAGUUCUAUCCUAGUCCUUACUGCCUCCUGCCCUUCUUCCUUUUCAUUUAAUUGUAGCCAUCUCUUGGGCUCCCUCCCAUCUCUAAGUUACACACCCCUCUUCUCCCUACUCCUCCCUGCCCAGUCCAUUCUGAACCUUCCUCGUCCUUCCCUGCUCUUCUCUCUUCCUAACCUCCAGUGCACUUCUUUCCUUAAAGCACCAGGAUGUAUCUCUAGGUUUCUGGAAACUAUGUAGCCUGAAGAAGGUGAAGCUAUGAGGUGGAAGAAAGGCAUCUGUGGUCCAAAUAGGCCAGUGAUACUAAACACAGGAUGGAGACAACUGUGAAGGAAGCAGGAGACCCAUGACUCCAGGGAGGGGUAGGGGGGGUGGCAGAAAAACCUAGACUGAUAUGCAAGGCCCAAGAAAAUGGAAUGGAAGACAGAGGCAAAGGGCUUGGGUUUUCCCCUGCCAUAAAACAAGGACUGAAAAAAAUCAUGGAUGGAAAUGGCAUCUACUUCAUCAGUUCUUCCAGGGAAAUGGUCCAACAAUACAGUCCCACCCUCUUCCCUCCUUCAAUGAGAAGCCAAAUAACUGGCAACUGACUCUUGACCUUUAGCCCAAUCCCAGCCCCAAAGGGAGAGGUGGAGGUACUUGGCUGUGAUUGGAAGAGAUACUGGGAAAUGCCUACGCGUGAAGUAAAAAUUUCCUGCCCCACCAACUUUGCACUUUAACAUGUUACACAGGACCAGACCCUACAUGCCAUGCCCUCUUCUCUCUACAAAGGCUCCUGCACUCUCUGGGCCAAUUGUACUCCUAAAUGCACAAGUCACCAUGUACACACCAUUUCAGUGGAUAGCACUGCUGUGAAUUCCAGGGCCUGAACUUCAGCUUUGAUAUAAUCCCAUAUUGCUGCCCAAACACAGGAAGGUUCUCACUCUCUCAUUUAACUUUUGAGGGGGAAAUGUUGAGGGGUGCUAAACUGUCUUGGUAGUCAUUAGAAAAAAUUAUCUCCCUCCAGGUAUAUGCAGCCCCCACACCACUGGUAUAGUCUGGCAACUGGAGCAUGGGCAGAUCUCAGCACCCUGAAAAAUCACCUCCAAAUCUUUCGCCCCUGCCUCACUGGCCUGGGGCAGAGGAGGCAUGGGUAGGCAGUUAGUUCCCUGGGGCUUUCCCCAGAGAAGCAAGGGGCUCUGGGAAAAUGGGUGGUGGGAUGACUGAGCUGUAUGAGGAGCCUGAAAAGAAAGAUGGAAAAAUCAAUGAAAUGAGUUUCUAACGGUGAGGUAAAGGACCGCCGUGUCGACAGCCUGUCGCCUGCUGCAAAAUAUGAGCUGCCCAAGUCUGUGGCACUGCUGACAGUGCAUAUAGCCACCACUGUUCUCUCUUCAGGCACCUGCCUCUAGCCCCUUCUGCUGCCCUGGCCUUUCUUAUUAUAGCCAGACUCUCCCUUUCCUACAUUUCUUAAUCUCUUCAGGGUCUUUCUUGGCUUUACUGAAGGAACAGGACAGGUGGGCUAUAAUCCCUGAUGGGGUACACCUUUCUCUAAGGCUUUUGUGUAUUUAGACCUCUUUGAUUUUGCUCUGAGAGCUGUGGUGACCUCUAUAUCUUGCCUCCCCCUCUUCUAGAUGCUUCUAUAUUCUUUCAACAAUGGCAGUCAGAUGUCAAGGUGAUUUUUCACAGGGUUCUUCAUACAAUUCUGAGCUGCGGUAACCCCUCCCUCCUUCUGCCUUCUGGUUCAGGAGGUCAAUGCUGACUUCUUGUAAACACCUAGGUUUACAGGUAGAACAGGUGUUUAGAAAGGGUCUGGUAUUGAUUUGUGAAUUCUUUGUAACCAUUGUGCAUUUGUGUGUGUAUGACUCAUGUAAUUAUUUCAUGAUUGAGAAUGGGGUGGAGAUACUACAUUCAAUUCAAAUUUGUCUAAGGAAAAAACUGAACCUUUUCUGGAUACUGUCUUUUCUCUAUCUUCUUCUACAUCUUUGUCUUAGACUCCUAGGACUGUUUAUUUUUUCCUCCCAUUAUCUCUAUACAGAAUGCCCAAGUCAGCUCUGGCUGCUUCCAAGUGUGUUUCUAACCCAGUCUCUCUUCUCUGCCUCAUAUUUCACUAUUGCUGGUUAAUAUUCUUCCAGUUCUUCCUCCAGUUUCUGAUUUCACAACUUGCCCAUUUAUGCAGACUCAGGUCUAGGAGUUAGGGUGAGAGUUUGGAGGGCAACUCUAAGUCCGUAUGAACAUUUACUGGUUAGAUAUUAAGACUGUUCUAAGUAACAGACGCAGCCCCUGCUCUGAUGGCCAUUGUAUCUCCCACCUGAUGCUUAGUCUCUCAGAUUAAAGGAAUCUUUCUUUCCUUCCUCUACAGCCAAAUUCCACUGUGCUCUCUAGCAUUUCAGAACCCUCCCUUUUCUCUAUCCAGGCAGCAGUUUACACUCUACCACAGCUCUGAUCCCCUCUCUUGUGCAUUUCCAGCUUUAGCUUUCAUUCCUAAACCCAAAACCAAAUUCAUCGACAUUUUCAACGACUAUCCACCCUUCCUCCAUUUCCUUUCCUAUUCUGGAACUGCCAUUUCUAGUUCUCCUCCUUCUUAGCCUGUAUUUCAGUCUCACCAUCCUGACCUCAAUGCCCCCUGUCCCCGGAGGUCCCUUGUCUUGUUUCCAUAGGCACUAGGAAACCUUGGGCACUCACAGACAACAGUGGUUUGUGACAACUGUUGUUCUGCACUACAGACUGCUCCAGGGAUGCAAGGUCAAAGUACCAGUGCCAGGAAUCCUACAGAUUUGCCUUGACCCAGGGCCCCAGCCCACACGUCAUACAGCUCCCCAGCAAAGCACCAAAUUGUUCCUGUAUGGGUCUCAAGGUAACACCAGCUGCCUCUGACAUCAUGGAGGGAGGAACCCUGUAAGGUUGCCAAGGCAACACCAGCAAUUUAUGACAUCAGAGGCUUGAGGUCUUUGGUUCUCAGGAGGCUAGGAGGAUUCAAGUUCCCGUCAGUUGAAGUAAAUAGGAAUUCUACUUUCUCAUCUUUUUGCUUGUAUUCUCCUGGUUUGGGAAUGAAUGCAACGGCCUUUGGUAGGGUAGUGAGUGAUGAGGGCAGUGGUAGGAAUGCUCCUGAGGUUUUCUCUUCCUCUCUCUCCACUAGAUCUCUCUGUUCUUUCAAUCCCUCUCAUAAGCAUCUCUCUCUUUUGGGGCCCAAUGGUAUUUCUGCUAGCCUUUUUUUCCAAAUCACCCCCUCCCCCGCAGCACACUGUUUGCAUCCUUCAUGCUGUGUCCUCCUUACACCAGAGGUAUCUGUUUCCUUUGAUACCUCAUCCUCUCUUCCUUUCCCCCUACCAAGCUCUGUGCAGCUCUGAUCUGCUUCUGCACUCCUGCCUUUGCCAUCCGUUUACUUUCUUUGUACCAUAUAUUCUUUUCCCACCUUUUCUUAUUCAUCAAUUCCUCCCUCUCACCACUUUGCCAUUGUAUCCAUUUCAUAUUGCUUUUUUGUUUAUCUCCUUUUUAGGAAUAUUCUAUCGUUCUUUUUCUUUCCUCUGUAUAACUAUUAACUAUUUAUUUCAUUCUCUCAAUUUUUCAUUAAUCACCCUUCAGUUCCUCUUCCCCCCAUUCCACAUAGAUUUUCCUCACUUUGCACACCCCUCAUGUCAUACAUUUUUCUACCCCAUGUGUUUAUCGCACCUAGCCUCCCCUUUCCUUCUACAAUUCUGUUCACCUCUGAAAUCUUCCAUCAUCUGCCCAUAUCUGCCUCCUCCUUUUACCCUCCAAAGCUCCUGAGUUCUGGAAAAACAAUAAUGGGCUUAAAACCAAGAUAAACUCUACAGAUCUUUUAUCCACCUUUACCAUUCUUUGGAUUGAAUGAACCUGGUCCCUUGCAUAAGAUAGCUUCUCCCAUAAUAAUAAAAACUGCCUCAUAAAAAAUGGUGCUGAAUCCAAAUAAAAUAAUACUAGAGGCCCAGGAGGAAGAUGAAUUAGAAAGUGAAGAAAAAACCACUGGUAUCUAGAAUGAACUGAGGAUGGAAGCUAACCAGGCAGGGUGGAGCUUAGAGUCCUAGAGAACGUCCCCUUAUGAAAUCAAAGUUGACAGUUAACUGACAUAAUGGCACUGAUUGAUGAAGGGGUUAUAUGCCCCUGGAAGCCCAUUAAAUUGAUUUCUUGGCCUAUUUAUGUGCCUUCACAAACCAUAUCCCCCACCUCUCCCAGCCCCUUGCUGUGGUUUCUUCUGCUGCUGAGGUUAAAUGCUGGGUAAGGGGAUAAGGGAUAAAAGAAACUGAAUGACCAAGGAGAAAAGGUAGAAAGAAGGUAGAUUAUUGGAACAAAGAUGGGGAAUAAAUAAGGGAGAUGAUGGUAUACUAGGAUAGAAAAAAAAGGAAUGAAAUAAAAUGGGGAAAUGAAAAAAAUAUACAAUGGUAAUGUGGGGGAAGGGAGGAAAAUGAAGUCAGCAGGGAAGAGGUUUGUGGUGGAAAGCUCCUGGAAAGACAGAUGAUACACUGAAGACCAGAAGGUGAGGUCCUGAUGGGGGAGGCAGGCACAUGGCAAAGGAGACAGUCAACAAUGCUAGGAAGUUCCAAAGCUUCCCUGGUGAAGGUGGAAGAAAAGGCUGUCCUGGCUAUUCUGAAAGGGCACAAGAGUCUGGGGGAAGACUUAUCUGCUCCAUCCCCCUACUCUUCAGGCCCCUGACCAAUGACUACCACAAUUCUAGCUGACAAGCUAACUCCAAAGUAGUGUGAAAAGGCCACAGACAUUGAGAUGGACCCUGAAGGAGAGGGCAUGGAGUCCUAGACGGCAGAACAGUCAGGCAGCCAAGGCGUGACACAUAGUGACAGGGACACAUAUGGAGAAGAUCACUCAGAUGGGAAGGGUCACAGCAGAGACAGUGCCACACAGAACUGGAGACGGAUGGAGUGGGGAGACAAGGUGAAGAAUGGCAAAACCAAGAGGGAGGGACACAUGGACAGAGAUCAGCGGGACUACAGGCACAGCAGAAGCGUGGUCCAGUGCUCCAAAAUGAUAGGGCUACUCAGAGAGGGGUAGAAAAGAGCGGGUGGGGGUGGGGGGCGCAGGGCAGACACGCUUCACCUUCAAUGGGGCAAUGAGGCUUCCCCUCACACCUUUUCAAAAAGAAAGGGGGUUCAACUUCAGUCAAAAACGAAGACUGAGGGUGUCCACGUCCCCUCCCAUCUCGCACCCUAGCGCGCUAACCCAUCCAUCAGCCCUCCCGCGGCGGUUCCUCCCUCAUCCCGCAGCCGGCGGGGAGCCGCCGAGACCCAGGCCCCUCCAGGCUGACAGCUCCGAGUCCUCGCACUCACCCGGCCUCCCCUUCCCUCCGGGAACCCCGCUCCCCGUACAGCUCGGCGCGGUCCGUCUAGGCUGUUACCCUCCGUCUGUCCCGCCGGCCCCUGCCUCUCCCUUCCCGGUCUCCCUCCACCCCCUACAUCUCUCUCUUCCCACAGACGCCCUCUCUCCCACACCCCUGCUCCCCUUCUCCCCGGGUUCUCUAGCUGUCUGUCCGUCCGUGUCCCCUCCCCCAGCCCCUUCCCAUCCCUCUCCGUCCCUCCAGCGGCUGUCUCCGAGCGCCUCCUCUCCCCUCGUCUCCAGCUUCCAAAGAGCAAGGAAGGGAAGAAGAGUGAGAGGGAGAGGAGAAAAAAAAACCAACCCAGCAGCAUCGGAAAUCGAUGCACUUACACCUCAGCUGGAAGCAGGGACGGGAGUCGAACCACGGCCGCCGAGCAGCGCGAGGCGGGGAGGGGAGGGGGCGGCUCUUGGAAGGGACUUCUCCGAUGUGUUGAUUCCUUUUUUUCCCCUCCUCCUCCUCCCUCCAGCGCUCGCUCCGGGGCGUCGGGGACGGAGAUGGAAAAAAUAAAUAAAUAAAUUCACGGCGGUGAGGGAAGUGAAGGAAAAUAAUCAAUGCUA